rnacentral:lncRNA from 1 species
CUAAAAGCCAGGUUCUUUGAGGGGUUAACUCAAAUGAUUGAGCAGCUGCUGUGAAAUAAGCAUUUUUUUCUGUCUGCUGUGCAUACUGUCUCUUAAUCUUUGGAAAUGUCACGAACCAGCUUUGUGAUCCUUCACAGAAGGAUCUCUGGGUGUUAAUGAACUACAACAUUGAAGAACUGCUUUUAGUUUCUGUGGACUCUGCUUCUCCAGCAAAUGACCCUUGAGAAAAACUAACCAG